AGACGGGUACAAUUUGCAGAAGUAAAGUCGAAAACUGCAACAUCAGCGCGUCUAUAACAAAUUCAAUGAUACCCUUCGUGCAUGGUGGACACAACGCGUCCCAACGUCUCCAUCUCCUUUUCUUCUCUCUCAUGGUUUUACCCGUACAACAUCCAUGCUAGGCACGUUUCAUCAUUGGCAAGGUGAGAUGACUACACGACGCCCGUCUACUACGAGAAAGUGAUCUCAAUCCUCCACCUAGCCUGCUAUAAGUUUAAAAUCAAUCGGAAUCAAAGGAUAUUCAAUUUUGGGGAUAAGAUUUAGGUUUUUGAAAUUUAAAUGGGUCUUGGGGGUAAAUUCGAACUCGAUCCAUUUUUCCCCUGUUAGGAACCCUAAUUCUGCCUAUAUAAUGUAUGGUUUUGUUCUUUAGAAAUGGGUUUUUUUCUUUCUUUCAGAGUUUUGUAUUCUUCACAAAGUUAAAAUUUUAGUUGGAAAUACAAUAAACAUUUUGAAUUCUUAGCUAAGAAGUUUUAACUUUAGUUCCAGAAAAACAGGGAAUCAAAUUUCAGUUUGAGUCCAACAUCUGGCACAAUUUAUCUAAAUGUUGUUUGAGUCGAACGCGUGGUGGUGGAGUCGUUCCUUGUUCGAGUUCUCAGAUCAUUUCCCUCUAAAAGGUGUUGAGUCAGUUCCUUCAUUUUAACAUGGUCAUCAAGACGCCGGACAUUCUCGGCGUAUGAUGGGACAACCUCAAAGAUUGUCAAAAGAAAGAAAACUCUAUUAACAUUUGUCACUUACCAUCAAUAAUGGAAUUCAAGGUUUGACCCACGUUUAUCGAGGUUAUUACUCGGUUUUGGACCAAUAAGAAGAUGGUUUUUCUAUUUGGAGAUGUCAAAAAAACACCCACACUAGAGGAAAUUAAGGAUUGUCUGGACUCUAUCAUUACAUAUGGCAAGAGGAAAAAUAUGUUAAUCAUGACAUCCUUCUUCCAGAUAGGACAAAUACUGGAGAAUCAAGAGACAUGUUGUACCUGGUAAGGGCUAACUGAUUUGAUGCCCAAAGUAUAACACUAAUUAGAUUAUUCAAAAUAUACGGGCACAAUAGCUAUUUUGUGCAAUUUCCAAACAAAUUCCAUGGUCAUAGUGCUUGGAGAAAAACUCAUGUCAUUGCAUUUUCAGCAUGCCUCUUCGGAACAAUGGUAUUCCCUAAAGAUGAAGGAAAUGAGAUGAACACUCGGGUUGUGAUGGUAGUAGACUCCAUCUUCAGAGAAAUUGGUAAGAAAUGAGAAGAAAAGAAAUAUUGUAGUUUGGCCCCGAUCAUUUUGGCCGAUAUUUAUCGAUCAUUAUGUUUGUGUAAGAAUGGGUUCCGUUUUUCAAAGGUUGCAAAAUUCUACUUUAAUGGUGGAUGAUUUAGCAUCACAGCAAAAGGGACGGUGCCCAGCAACAAGAGUUGGCAAAGCCAAGCAAGAUGAUUCCCUUCAAUAAUUAUGAAUUCUAACUAAGCAUCUGCAGAUUCCCAAUUUAUACCACCAGGGAUACGUCGGAAAGGGUAUUUUAUGAUUCUAGAGAAAAAGAUAUACAAUGAAUGUUACUGAACUUCAAUUCAGAGAGGAUAGCAGAACAGGGGGCCAAACAUCCAUUUUUAGUCCUUCCUGGCAUCAGAGGAUUACGACCGUACAACCCAGCAAGAGUGAUGCGACAAUUUUGUAAAACACAAAUCACACCCGUCUAAGGGGAUGCUAGUUCUUUUGUUGUCAAUUACAGUGGGAGCGGAAAAAUACCUUUCGCUAAGAUCAUCCUCCAAGAAUGGGCAAGACGUGUCAACAUGAAAUGAGAUAUGGCUGAAAAAUAGAUAUAAAGCUAGGUAUGUAGACGAAUACAAGACAUGAUUGCAGAAUGAUAUGCAUGGUGUAAUGAACCCAUUACCAGGCGUAGUUCAGGAAAUUGAAGAUGUACAGACAAGUCUUCAGAUCCAUGCAUACCAUUUUAAGCAGGAAUUGGACCAAAGGGAGCAACAAUUUAAGCAAACGGAGCAAGAAUUUUAUAACAAAGAGCAAGAAUUUCAGCAAAGGGAGCAUGAGUACCAGUUCCGAGAGUUAUAAAGUUAGAGGGAUUUAGCUGUAACGUCACAAGAGAUAGAUGAUACAAGGGCUUUUCUGAUGCAUUUGCAACGCAACCCUGACGAGAAGAUGAACACUCUACGAGUUGUACCAAAAUUCGUGAACACGAAAUCCUUAUCAUCAACACGCCACAGAUAAGAUAAAGAUGAUGUAGAGAAAAAAAUUAUUGAGAUGGAGUCCUUAUAUUAUCUUUAAAGCUCUAUUGUUUUUCCAUUUCCUUGUAUUCCUAACGAAUGAAUGAAUGAAAAUAUUUCCUUUAUGUACUCGAA